rnacentral:miRNA from 11 species
CUCUCUGACCAAUGAAUGCAAA